AGGGCUUGCAGCAGCCAAGUGCACUGCGUGUGUCACCAAGCGACGGCGGCACCUCCAGCGGAGACGCACAGGGCUUGCAGCAGCCAAGCACACUGCAUGUGCCACCGAGCGACGGCGGCACCUCCAGCAGAGACGCACAGGGCUUGCAGCAGCCAAGUGCACUGCGUGUGUCACCAAGCGACG